rnacentral:tRNA from 1 species
GCUCCUAUGGCUCAGUUGGUAGAGCGCAUGACUAGUACGAAUUUCAAACGUCAAUAUAAAUCAUGAGGUCCGCGGUUCAAAUCCGCGUGGGAGCA